rnacentral:rRNA from 1 species
UACGUAGGGUGCGAGCGUUGUCCGGAAUUAUUGGGCGUAAAGAGCUUGUAGGCGGUUUGUCGCGUCUGCUGUGAAAAUCCGGGGCUCAGCCCCGGACUUGCAGUGGGUACGGGCAGACUGGAGUGUGGUAGGGGAGACUGGAAUUCCUGGUGUAGCGGUGGAAUGCGCAGAUAUCAGGAGGAACACCGAUGGCGAAGGCAGGUCUCUGGGCCACUACUGACGCUGAGAAGCGAAAGCAUGGGGAGCGAACAGG